GACGAACGCUGGCGGCGUGCUUAACACAUGCAAGUCGAGCGGUAAGGCCCUCGGGUACGACGAGCGGCGAACGGGUGAGUAACACGUGGGUGACCUGCCUCUAGCUCUGGGAUAAGCCUGGGAAACUGGGUCUAAUACCGGAUAUGACUCCACGGCGCAUGUUGUGGGGUGGGAAANCCUUGUGUGGCUAGAGAUGGGCCCGCGGCCUAUCAGCUUGUUGGUGGGGUGAUGGCCACCAAAGGCGACGACGGGUAGCCGGCCUGAGAGGGCGACCGGCCAC
rnacentral:rRNA from 1 species